rnacentral:rRNA from 1 species
GCUUGUCUCAAAGAUUAAGCCAUGCAUGUCUAAGUAUAACUCUUUUACUUUGAAAACUGCGAACGGCUCAUUAUAUCAGUUAUAGUUUAUUUGAUAGUCCCUUACUACUUGGAUAACCGUAGUAAUUCUAGAGCUAAUACAUGCACAAAGGCCCAUUCACGUGGGUUGUGAUUAUUAGAUUCAAACCGGCCUCGUUCUGGUGAUUCAUAAUAACUCCUCGAAUCGCAUGGCCUUGCGCCGGCGAUGUUUCAUUCAAAUUUCUGCCCUAUCAAUUUGAUGGUAGGAUAGAGGCCUACCAUGGUGGUAACGGGUGACGGAGAAUUAGGGUUCGAUUCCGGAGAGGGAGCCUGAGAAACGGCUACCACAUCCAAGGAAGGCAGCAGG